rnacentral:rRNA from 1 species
AUUGAACGCUGGCGGCAGGCCUAACACAUGCAAGUCGAACGAGUGGCGGACUGGUGAGUAAUGUCUGGGAAACUGCCUGAUGGAGGGGGAUAACUACUGGCAACGGUAGCUAAUACCGCAUACCAUUAGCUGUGCCCAGAUGGGAUUAGCUUGUUGGUGGGGUAACGGCUCACCAAGGCGACGAUCCAUAGAUGGACUGAGAGGAUGACCAGCAACACUGGGAGGGAGACACGGUCCAGACUCCUACGGGAGACAGCAGUGGGGAAUAUUGCACAAUGGGCGCAAGCCUGAUGCAGCCAUGCCGCGUGUAUGAAGAAGGCCUUCGGGUUGUAAAGUACUUUCAGCGGGGAGGCGUUACCCGCAGAAGAAGCACCGGCUAACUCCGUGCCAGCAGCCGCGGUAAUAC